rnacentral:tRNA from 1 species
UUACCUAAAUGUCGUGAAAACACUGUCCCGCGGACCAUGAUUGGCGCUGAUUUCCUUAGAUUUUCCUCUGAUUCCUGAACUUUUAAUCAGUAGGUCGCUGGUUCGAACCCAGCAGGGCUCACCA